ACACUCCUGCGGGAGGCAGCAGUAGGGAAUCUUCCACAAUGGGUGCAAACCUGAUGGAGCAAUGCCGCGUGAGUGAAGAAGGUCUUCGGAUCGUAAAGCUCUGUUGUUAGAGAAGAACACGUGCUAGGUAACUACUAGCGCCUUGACGGUAUCUAACCAGAAAGUCACGGCUAACUACGUGCCAGCAGCCGCGGUAAUACGUAGGUGACAAGCGUUGUCCGGAUUUAUUGGGCGUAAAGGGAGCGCAGGCGGUCUGUUUAGUCUAAUGUGAAAGCCCACGGCUUAACCGUGGAACGGCAUUGGAAACUGACAGACUUGAAUGUAGAAGAGGAAAAUGGAAUUCCAAGUGUAGCGGUGGAAUGCGUAGAUAUUUGGAGGAACACCAGUGGCGAAGGCGAUUUUCUGGUCUAACAUUGACGCUGAGGCUCGAAAGCGUGGGGAGCGAACAGGAUUAGAAACCCGGGUAGUCCCAUGA
rnacentral:rRNA from 1 species